UCGAUCGAUAUCAGGUGGGCGGGGUCGAUCGAUGUCGGGUUGGCGGUGUCGAUCAAUGCUAUCCUUUGGCGAGGUUUCCAUAUCUCUUCCCGAAGUGUGAAGAUCAUCAUCAAGCUUCUUCUCCGAGUUCUGACCCAAAUCUUUAUGAUGUGCUCCAUCCAAUACCUUCAAGAAAUCCUUUGGCUCUGAAAAAUUUUCCAUGGUGGUCUCUCUGUCUAUAUCUUGAGCAAAAUAGCUGCUUGAUAUAUCGGUGUUCACUGGUGUCGAGUCUGCAAUAUCCUGAGGAUUCAAGAGGCGUCGAUCGACAGCAAAAGUUUGUGUCAAUCGAUGUUGAGGUGGUAAUGUCGAUUGAUGCUGAGGUCGG
rnacentral:lncRNA from 1 species